UACGUAGGGGGCGAGCGUUGUCCGAAUUUACUGGGCGUAAAGAGCGCGUAGGCGGGUUUUUAAGUGAGAGGUGAAAGGUUCAGGGCUCAACCCGAACAGUGCCUUUCAUACUGGAGACCUUGAGUGUGGGAGAGGCGAGUGGAAUUCCUGGUGUAGCGGUGAAAUGCGUAGAUAUCAGGAGGAACACCCAUGGCGAAGGCAGCUCGCUGGCCUACAACUGACGCUGAGGCGCGAAAGCGUGGGGAGCAAACAGG
rnacentral:rRNA from 1 species